AAAAUACGUUUCUCGCUCAUAUUCUGACACUGCUUGCUUUCCUGUGUAAUCACAUACGGCGAGAAACGACGAGAGCGAGAAUUUAAAAAUUCGCUCGCUAAACAUAGCACGCGAAUUCGAUGACGUCAGAAAUCGCUCGCAGCUCUAAAUUCGCGUCUGCAUGGCUGUAACCAAAGUUUGAUUUUCGUGGCAUAGAUGAGCUCGUUUAACGAUUUUUCGGCUACCGACUGCUCCAUUCUUUUUCUUUUUAUUUUCGGCCCGCUUGAGCUAAAUAGUUUUUUUUUUUGGGCGCCCAGUAUUUCUGGUCGGAGUAUUAUUGUUUUAGUUGACAGAAUGACAGUCCACGACUUGUGCUUGGCAAAUUUAAGUUUUCUAGUGCAAAUUCUCCUCAUAACCAUUUCGAAUUUUCACUUCUCUUACACGAUGAGACUUCUUCCAUCGUUGAUUAAGUGAAAUUAAAAAUGUGCUUAUACUUCGUCUAAGAUUUUGUUCCACGAGUCCCCAAACACAUUUGGAGGUUGAAUUUCGC
rnacentral:lncRNA from 1 species